rnacentral:tRNA from 1 species
GCCUGGAUGGCGGAAUAGGUAGACGCAAGGGACUUAAAAUCCCUCGUUCUGUAAAGGACGUGCCGGUUCGAUUCCGGCUCCAGGCACCA